rnacentral:lncRNA from 1 species
AUGCCAAAUUUCAGAAUUUUAAUCUCUUCACUAUUGACUCUGGAUGCUGUCAGCCCGCUUCCUCCUUUUGUCGCAAUCUCUCCGUCUAAAGGUUAGCAUCACUGCGAUAGGAUUUGAUCCUCUUCUUUCCCGACGAUGAUGAACAUAAUUACAUUCUUAACAAGUGAAUUAAAUUACAGCAUGAUUUCUCUAACAAUGAGCGCUCUCCUCGCGACGGGCUGAAGAGAAGCUGAGCUGCUGGCAUGCGGGAGCCCACACCAUGCUUCAGAAUGACCAUUGAUCCUGUAUAAAAAAAAGGAAACGGACUCUUUCAGCCCUGCAGAAAGAGUGAGGUCUCAGCUCCAUGCCUGUGCAUCACCCCAGACUGAGAACACCUCCACCCCUGGCUCAGCAAGUUAUUAUUCUGUGCAAGCACGAUGCCCUCCCAGGACAACACUACAGGACGGCAUUUGCUUGGAUAAAACAGUUUGGCAACACUUGCUCUUGAGGAAAUUUGUGGUCUGUGCGUUGGGGAAUGACUCAGUGGAGCCAGGAGCUGUCUGAAAGCCCCCGCUGAGGAUUUGCUCUGAGCACAGCCUGCAGGGCUGGUGGGUGGGCAAACAAUGU